UAUGUGAAGUUGACUAGUAUUCUUUUAUGACAUGCCGUUUACUAUGCGUCUUUCUCCGCAACUUACAUUUCUUCGAUCACUGAAUCUGGACGUUACAGAACCACCUUUCAAACUCCACUUUAAAUCCCAAAACUAAACCCCAAAUUCAGUUUCAACCCAAACAAACUUUUCAAUCUUCUUCUUCUUCUUCGUUCUUCAAUUUCUCGUCAACUCACACUCCUUCACAUCAACGCGUUCCUCUAAACACUCUGCAUCGUUUAGUUCUUUCGCGUGUUACAGACCAGUGAGAAAUCCAGUUUGUAUAUUGGAAUCUAUAGUUCAAUAUGUCAUCUGCAAGCAAGGGUGAUAGGAAGGCUUCCCUUGAUGCAGCAUCAUGGUUGUUUAACGUAGUUACAUCUGUGGCAAUAAUCCUUGUGAAUAAAGCCCUGAUGGCCACAUAUGGUUUUAGUUUUGCCACAACUUUAACUGGAAUGCAUUUUGCCACAACAACUUUGUUGACGGUCAUUCUUAAAUCACUGGGAUAUAUCCAGACUUCUCAUCUUCCAAAAUCUGAUAUCAUCAAAUUUGUGUUGUUUGCAAAUUGCUCCAUUGUUGGCAUGAAUGUGAGUUUAAUGUGGAACUCUGUUGGUUUUUAUCAGAUUGCUAAGCUGACUAUGAUUCCAGUAUCUUGCCUCCUGGAAGUUGUCUUGGACAAUGUGCGAUAUUCAAGGGACACAAAGCUUAGUAUUAUCUUGGUUUUGGCUGGUGUUGCGGUCUGUACAGUCACCGAUGUCAGUGUCAAUGCAAAGGGUUUCAUAGCUGCUGUGAUAGCAGUUUGUAGCACAGCUCUGCAGCAGUAUUAUGUACAUUAUCUUCAGAGGAAAUAUUCUAUUGGAUCAUUUAACUUGUUGGGCCACACUGCACCAGCACAGGCAGCAAGUUUACUUCUAGUAGGCCCCUUUAUGGAUUAUUGGUUGACAAACAAACGGGUUGAUGCAUAUGACUAUGGUUUGACAUCCGUUUUGUUCAUCAUUCUGUCUUGCACCAUUGCAGUAGGGACAAAUCUCAGCCAGUUCAUCUGCAUUGGUAGGUUUACGGCUGUAUCAUUCCAAGUCCUUGGCCAUAUGAAGACUAUUCUAGUCCUAUUCAUGGGAUUCAUUUUCUUUGGAAAAGAGGGCCUCAAUCUACAUGUUGUUCUAGGCAUGACAAUUGCAAUAGCAGGAAUGGUUUGGUACGGUAAUGCUUCUUCUAAGCCAGGGGGAAAAGAGCGUCGUAGCUUUUCCAUUCCUACCACUAAGACACAAGAUUAUGCUGCACUACCGGUGUCCUCUGAAUCAGUUGAGAAGGCUACCCCAUGACAACAAAGAUAGUCCAGUCUUACAGGGGAUAAGCAAAUAGGAUGUGGGCUAUACUGCUCAAGCCAUUGGCAAUGAAUGUGGACCUAGUUUCAUCCUAUCGGAUUUCUUUAGGAUUUUGUAGGAUUCACUUGCCAUGGUCGAUGGUCCCAACAACAGCUAGAUCUGCAAACGUAACACUUUACUUUUAAGACAAUGGGCAAGCAGGACCUGUAUUAAAAGCCUGAGACAUGGGGAAUGAUGCAUUCAUGCACAACAGUAAAAAUUAAGUAAAAAUUUGACAUUUAAGGCCUCACGUAAGGGUACCAACAUAACACUUCUGUUGCACCUUCAACCCAGCACCUGGUUCUGUCCCUACUCCAAAAUUUUAGUACAUUGUUUUUCUCUUCAAGGUUAAAAUAUCUACUAUACAAUUUACCACUACUGCUACUCCACAUUUAUACAAUAUGUAUAUCACAUGGCUUGCUGGUUUUUUUGUCCAUGAGUUGGAGUCAAGUCACUACCUUCAAUUUACAAUAUUUUUACACACAUUGUGUAUCAACUACUUGUAAUUCACUCUUGUGGUAAUGACUUGUUGGUUUUGAUUGA